AAGCUCGUAGUUGAAUUUCGGGAUCAAUGUUUCGGUCAUGCCGUUGGUAUGUACUGAUAUUAUUGAUUUCUCACCUUCUAAAGAACCGUAAUGCCAUUAAUUUGGUGUCACGGGGAAUUAGGACUGUUACCUUGAAAAAAUUAGAGUGUUUAAAGCAGGCUCACGCUUGAAUACAUUAGCAUGGGAUAAUGAAAUAGGACAUCCGAUUCUAUUUUGUUGGUUUCUAGGAUCGAUGUAAUGAUUAAUAGGGAUAGUUGGG
rnacentral:rRNA from 1 species